UACGUAGGGACCGAGCGUUGUCCGGAUUCAUUGGGCGUAAAGAGCUCGUAGGCGGCUGUUCAAGUCGAACGUGAAAACUCGGAGCUCAACUCCGAGCCUGCGUUCGAUACUGGACGGCUAGAGUCUGGUAGGGGGAUCUGGAAUUCCUGGUGUAGCGGUGGAAUGCGCAGAUAUCAGGAGGAACACCUAAGGCGAAGGCAGCUCGCUGGAACGGUACUGACGCUGAGGCGCGAAAGCGUGGGGAGCAAACAGG
rnacentral:rRNA from 1 species